GAUGAACGCUGGCGGCGUGCCUAAUACAUGCAAGUCGAGCGAACAGACGAGGAGCUUGCUCCUCUGACGUUAGCGGCGGACGGGUGAGUAACACGUGGAUAACCUACCUAUAAGACUGGGAUAACUUCGGGAAACCGGAGCUAAUACCGGAUAAUAUAUUGAACCGCAUGGUUCAAUAGUGAAAGACGGUUUUGCUGUCACUUAUAGAUGGAUCCGCGCCGCAUUAGCUAGUUGGUAAGGUAACGGCUUACCAAGGCAACGAUGCGUAGCCGACCUGAGAGGGUGAUCGGCCACACUGGAACUGAGACACGGUCCAGACUCCUACGGGAGGCAGCAGUAGGGAAUCGUCCGCAAUGGGCGAAAGCCUGACGGAGCAACGCCGCGCGAGUGAUGAAGGUCUUCGGAUCGUAAAACUCUGUUAUUAGGGAAGAACAAAUGUGUAAGUAACUAUGCACGUCUUGACGGUACCUAAUCAGAAAGCCACGGCUAACUACGUG
rnacentral:rRNA from 1 species